rnacentral:rRNA from 1 species
UACGUAGGGUGCAAGCGUUGUCCGGAAUUAUUGGGCGUAAAGAGCUCGUAGGCGGUCUGUCGCGUCGGCUGUGAAAACCCGGAGCUCAACUCCGGGCCUGCAGUCGAUACGGGCAGACUGGAGUUCGGCAGGGGAGACUGGAAUUCCUGGUGUAGCGGUGAAAUGCGCAGAUAUCAGGAGGAACACCGGUGGCGAAGGCGGGUCUCUGGGCAUUAACUGACGCUGAGGAGCGAAAGCAUGGGGAGCGAACAGG